AGAAUGGUAUGUGACGUGUAUUCAUAACAAAUAGUGUUUCUGCAGAUUCAAUUCAAUGUGACGGGGAGGUGGAGAUCAAGCAAGACGUUCAUGGGGAGGAACGGUCAAAUGAGAGGAGAGGAAGAGAGCAAAAAGUUCUUCGUGGUCACAGAGAUACGAAGAGGACAGAGUUAUGAAUGGCUGUUUUUUUUGUGUCUGCAAGGUACAUGGAUGCAGUGUGUCCUUGGCUGCUUGUGUUUUCAUGAUGUGAAAGAAAUCAACUGGACGAAAAGGCAAAAAAACAGGAAACAGGAGAGAAGCAAAGUGAUAGAUUUGAGAAAGGUGCAUGGAUGCAGUGUGUCCUUGGCUGCUUGCAUAUUCAUGAUACUGGGAACAUCCAUUCGGCACUUCUUCCCUAUCUGAGCAGUGCCCUGCUUCACAUUCACACAGCUGCACACAUUCACACCUGGGAGCUUCCUGGUUCAACCCGACUCCUACUCUGGGCCAGAUUCUAGCCCCGAUGAGGAUAACACCUCACCGUGCCAAUAUUUUCUUCAAACCUCUUUCUGGUGCUUAAAUAAAUGC